AGUUAUAGCUGUGUGAUCUUGGACAAGCCACUAAACUUCUCUGAGCCUUACUUUCCUCGGUGAUGAAGUGUUUAAUGAGCUCUCUGAUCUGAUACUCUGUGAGUCUAAUAUUAUUACAAGAUUUAGCCCUCCUUACCCCUCAGUUUUUUCCCCCUUAUGUGAUUGAAAACUAACUUUGAAAACAUUUCCGAAAUUUGAUAUCCAAAGGAAAAAUGAGAUACAUAGGAAAAAAUAUGGUUUUCGCUUUUCCUAUAGGCCACGGUAUAGCAGAUAUGUGCAGAGAUGUUUGUUGAUAAGUUAGUGAAGCUGUAUCGACCCAGCUCUGUGUUAACAGUCCAACAGGCUACUAUGAGGUGAAUCUGACCAUGGAGUUGGAGGAAAUAAGCCAGACCCCACGCCCACAUGAAUAAAGGUGGUAAUAGGUGUUGAACACUAGCCUUGACCUCAAGUCCAAAGCAGGCUUUGGAUUCACUGAAGGUAAUAGCUCAUUUCCAGGCCGAGGACCUGAAUUUUGUUUACUUCUCCUGGCUGUGCAAAAAGCACAUUCAAGUGAAUGACACAAACAAUGCAACCGCAGUGCAUGUUGUAGACUCGGGCAGCUGCAGGCGGUCGGCACCAGCCCGGGAUUGAGGUGGAGUCACUGCUGUGGAGCCGCAUUGCAGCCCCGCCCACCAUCGCUGUCCACCCCUAGACCAUUCCUGACCAAGCAGCAUGCACCGCGCGGGCAGUUCCAUCCUCAAGUUUUUAAAACCAAGGGGAACUUGUAUACUGGGCCUGUUUUUCAGCCUGUUUGCUACCUUUUUUUGCACUCUAUCCCGUGUGAAUUUUACAGACACUGGGCUCCAAAGAGUAUUUGGACACCUGGACACACAUUCCUAGAAUGUCACCAUAUGGUCCUAACUCCAUGUCACCAAAUGACACAGACAAGAUCCUGUUUACAACGACUCUUUUCUUUUUUUUUUAAUUUCUGAUCUUUCUGAGGAGAUGAUUAUCUAUGGCAUAUCUAUAGCUAUAUGUAUGGCCAUAGAUGUAUUUCUGUGUGUACAUAUGUAUAGCCGUGUAUUCCUACAUAUGUACAUACAAAUACAGAGAUAUAUAAAGUACAUAGAAACUCCUGACUUGUAAAUAGCCAAAAGGUACUGACAUGAAUAUGAAUUUUCACACUUAAUCAUCAACAUGAAGCCAUGUUUAAUGCUUGUAUAAUGUGAUGCAAUAAAAUUUAAAAU
rnacentral:lncRNA from 1 species